ensembl:ncRNA R04F11.19 ncRNA
CGAAAAAAGGAAGAAAGAGGGUCAAAAGCGACUCGCCGUUGUCUUCCUCAUCUACGCCCCCCGAGGGACUAUCACUUCCCGGCAAUCGUCUUAGAGAAUAUUGUAGAAUAGGAUGAGACGCAGAUAUGUGACGUCUAAGAAAUGCUUUUGGCAAUAUAGAAAGGAUGAAAAAGUGAAGAAUCGAAACAAUACUUUCAAGGGUAUUGAG